rnacentral:rRNA from 1 species
AUGCCGACGCCGCCGCGCGACCAGCAGCAGACGCUGCGCCGGAGCCGCUCCGCCAGCUCCGCGGAGGGCUGGUCCUCGCCCACGCCGUGCUGCUUCGGUGACGCGCCGCGGCGCAGGGUGGUCAGGACCACGUCGGCGUCGUUCCGGGACCGGCCCACGUACCUGAGGCGGGAGAACGACGAGUUCCUGCUCCUCAGCUUCAGCCCGGACGACGACGGCGGCGACGACCGCGACGCGGCAGGGUGGCCCAGAAGCGACGACGACGACGCGGAGAUGGCCGGGAGCAGGCGCGGCAAGAGGACGGUGGACGGCGACGGGGCCAAGAAACAGAGGCGGAGGCGAAGAAGGCUCCCGCGGCGGCGGCGCGGCGACGAGGACGCGGAGUCAAAGCCUGGCCGGAGCAGGAGGCCGGCCGCGGCGGCGGAGGAAUGCGGCCUGGAGAACUCGAGCCCGGUGUCGGUGCUGCAAAAAACAUGCCACGUCAGCACCUGA